rnacentral:rRNA from 1 species
GACGAACGCUGGCGGCGUGCUUAACACAUGCAAGUCGAACGGAAAGGCCCUGCUUUUGUGGGGUGCUCGAGUGGCGAACGGGUGAGUAACACGUGAGUAACCUGCCCUUGACUUUGGGAUAACUUCAGGAAACUGGGGCUAAUACCGGAUAGGAGCUCCUGCUGCAUGGUGGGGGUUGGAAAGUUUCGGCGGUUGGGGAUGGACUCGCGGCUUAUCAGCUUGUUGGUGGGGUAGUGGCUUACCAAGGCUUUGACGGGUAGCCGGCCUGAGAGGGUGACCGGCCACAUUGGGACUGAGAUACGGCCCAGACGCCUACGGGAGGCAGCAGUGGGGAAUAUUGCACAAUGGGCGGAAGCCUGAUGCAGCAACGCCGCGUGCGGGAUGACGGCCUUCGGGUUGUAAACCGCUUUCGCCUGUGACGAAGCGUGAGUGACGGUAAUGUGUAAAGAAGCACCGGCUAACUACGUG